rnacentral:piRNA from 1 species
AGACCUAUCCCAAGCCCA